rnacentral:ncRNA from 1 species
UACCUGGUUGAUCCUGCCAGUAGUCAUAUGCUUGUCUCAAAGAUUAAGCCAUGCAAGUCUAAGUACGAGCUCUCGUACAGUGAAACUGCGAAUGGCUCAUUAAAUCAGUUAUGGUUCAUUUGAUCGUACAGUUUACUUGGAUAACUGUGGUAAU